UCUGGUUUUGACCUGGAUUGUUGAUUUUGACUUGUGCUUUUGUAAUAAACCAAUUUCAACCUUUCCACUCCCCUCAGCGUCCUCCUUAUCAUGCACCCUCACACUAAUGAUCUGGCAUGCAGGUACAAUCAGGCACAAGUGGCAGGAGGGAAAGACAUGAGACAAAUUUGGACCCCCUUUGCAUUAUUCGAGAGGAACCAUAUGCCUUUUUAAUUCAAACACCUAGUGCCAUUCAGCACCUUAUGGAGAGAAUAUUGGCUCCCAGAAUUAAAAAUGAUUGUACUUGGUUGAUGUUGUGCUGUUCUCUCUACCACAGUUCCAGAGCACAUGAAGGACUUCGAAGGAGUUCUGAUCAAACUGCAGCAAGAAAAUUUGAAAGCUAAGUUGGAAAAGUAGCCUUUCUUCAAACAGGAUGUAAGAUAUUUAGGGCAUGUUGGAGUUUUUGGCACGGAAAACAACAACAGAGAAUUACUGGGAGUCCUUUUCAGAUCAGAGAAAAAUUGGAAGCAUUGGAACAACUCUGAUUUUGACUACAUCAUCCGCUAUCAACUGGGUGACAGAAUGAGAACGCCAAUCACUUAUCCCAGCAGUUCCUCCCUGAAGUGGUAACAUCAUGGUUGGCAUCUGGUGUUCCUCUGCCUGAAGGGUCACAGCAAGCAGCUGGUGGGGAUCAGUCUGAUGUCAGCCGGAGCUGCCUUUGUGGGGCCUGGGAGCCGGAAAAUUGGGUAAACAGCCUGGUGUGGCGGAGGAAAAGGCCAGAGCCUGAGAGGUGGCCCAGAUCGUGAGCUAACGAGGAGCCCAUCUGCCGAAGCGGCUCCAAGAUGCCAAACAAGAUGUAAGGAGAGGUAUGGAGCAGGGCGAGGUGAGCGCUCAUGCUCAGGGAUAUAUCAGGCUAGUACAUUUAAAAGAUUGAUACUGUAAAUGCCAUCACUUGAUUAGGGAUUU